rnacentral:rRNA from 1 species
UCACUGCUUGCAGUGGUUGAUUAGUGGCGAACGGGUGAGUAACACGUGAGGAACUUGCCCAUGAGCGGGGGACAACAUUCGGAAACGGAUGCUAAUACCCCAUAGGUGGAUUGGUCGCAUGACGAAUUCAUUAAAGGUGGCUCUGCUACCACUCAUGGAUAGCCUCGCGGCGUAUUAGCUAGUUGGUAAGGUAAUGGCUUACCAAGGCAUUGAUACGUAGCCGACUUGAGAGGGUGAUCGGCCACACUGGGACUGAGACACGGCCCAGACUCCUACGGGAGGCAGCAGUAGGGAAUCUUCCACAAUGGGUGCAAACCUGAUGGAGCAAUGCCGCGUGAGUGAAGAAGGUCUUCGGAUCGUAAAGCUCUGUUGUUAGAGAAGAACACGUGCUAGGUAACUACUAGCGCCUUGACGGUAUCUAACCAGAAAGUCACGGCUAACUACGUGCCAGCAGCCGCGGUAAUACGUAGGUGACAAGCGUUGUCCGGAUUUAUUGGGCGUAAAGGGAGCGCAGGCGGUCUGUUUAGUCUAAUGUGAAAGCCCACGGCUUAACCGUGGAACGGCAUUGGAAACUGACAGACUUGAAUGUAGAAGAGGAAAAUGGAAUUCCAAGUGUAGCGGUGGAAUGCGUAGAUAUUUGGAGGAACACCAGUGGCGAAGGCGAUUUUCUGGUCUAACAUUGACGCUGAGGCUCGAAAGCGUGGGGAGCGAACAGGAUUAGAUACCCUGGUAGUCCACGCCGUAAACGAUGAGUGCUAAGUGUUGGGGGCUUUCCGGCCCUCGGUGCUGGAGCUAACGUAUUAAGCACUCCGCCUGGGGAUUACGACCGCAAGGUUGAAACUCAAAAGAAUUGACGGGGACCCGCACAAGCGGUGGAGCAUGUGGUUUAAUUCGAAGCAACGCGAAGAACCUUACCAGCUCUUGACAUCUUCUGACAACUCUAGAGAUAGAGCGUUCCCUUCGGGGACAGAAUGACAGGUGGUGCAUGGUUGUCGUCAGCUCGUGUCGUGAGAUGUUGGGUUAAGUCCCGUAACGAGCGCAACCCUUGUUGUUAGUUGCCAGCAUUAAGUUGGGCACUUUAACGAGACUGCCGGUGAUAAA